rnacentral:tRNA from 1 species
GGCCUUGUGGCUCAAAGGGGUAGGGCGCUGGCCCCAUAUGCCAGAGGUGGUGGGUUCAAACCCAGCCCCGGCCA